CCUACGGGCGGCAGCAGUGAGGAAUAUUGGUCAAUGGACGGAAGUCUGAACCAGCCAUGCCGCGUGCAGGAAGACGGCGCUAUGAGGUGUAAACUGCUUUUGUACAAGGGUGAACCUGAAUACGUGGAUUCAGCUGAAAGUACUGUACGAAUAAGGAUCGGCUAACGCCGUGCCAGCAGCCGCGGUAAUACGGAGGAUCCAAGCGUUAGCCGGAUUUAGUGGGUUUAAAGGGUGCGUAGGCGGCUUUAUAAGUUAGAGGUGAAAUGUCCGAGCUGAACUCGGGAACUGCCUCUAUUACUGUUGAUCUAGAGCGUAGGUGCGGUAGGCGGAAUGUCUGGUGUAGCGGU
rnacentral:rRNA from 1 species